rnacentral:rRNA from 1 species
AGCGAACGCUGGCGGCAGGCUUAACACAUGCAAGUCGAGCGGGCACUUUCGGGUGUCAGCGGCGGACGGGUGAGUAACGCGUGGGAACGUGCCCUCUGGUUCGGAAUAACUCAGGGAAACUUGAGCUAAUACCGGAUACGCCCUUUUGGGGAAAGGCUUGGUGCGGGGGGAUCGGCCGGCGCCUGAUUAGCUAGUUGGUGAGGUAACGGAUCACCAAGGCGACGGGCGGUAGCUGGUCUGAGAGGAUGAUCAGCCACACUGGGAAUGGGACACGGCCCAGACUCCUACGGGAAGCAGCAGUGGGGAAUAUUGGCCAAUGGGCGCAAGGCUGAUCCAGCCAUGCCGCGUGAGUGAUGAAGGCCUUAGGGUUGUAAAGCUCUUUUAUCCGGGACGAUAAUGACGGCACCGGAGGAAUAAGCCCCGGCUAACUUCGUG